rnacentral:pre_miRNA from 1 species
GGCACAAAUUUGGAGUAGAGUAGAUUGCUAGGAUCAGCUGGCCAUACUAAUGUAUUCUACUUCAAGUUUGCGCCC